rnacentral:rRNA from 1 species
GACGAACGCUGGCGGCGUGCUUAACACAUGCAAGUCGAACGGAAAGGCCCUGCUUUUGUGGGGUGCUCGAGUGGCGAACGGGUGCGUAACACGUGAGUAACCUGCCCUUGACUUUGGGAUAACUUCAGGAAACUGGGGCUACUACCGGAUAGGAGCCCCUGCUCCAUGGAGGGGGUUGGAAAGUUUCGGCGGUUGGGGAUGGACUCGCGGCUUAUCAGCUUGUUGGUGGGGUAGUGGCUUACCAAGGCUUUGACGGGUAGCCGGCCUGAGAGGGUGACCGGCCACAUGGGGACUGAGGUACGGCCCAGACGCCUACGGGAGGCAGCAGUGGGGAAUAUUGCACAAUGGGCGGAAGCCUGAUGCAGCAACGCCGCGUGCGGGAUGACGGCCUUCGGGUUGUAAACCGCUGUCGCCUGUGACGAAGCGUGAGUGACGGUAAUGGGUAAAGAAGCACCGGCUAACUACGUG